UACCUUAAUUUUCCUCGUACAAUUUCGAGGGUAAUAAAAUCACCGUUCGUCCCUCUUGCGUGUAGCAAAACUCCCGAGGUCUCAGCUGUUCGAAAAAGCAUAUGAAUCAUUGAAUAUGUUUUCGAAGAUUUUGCAGAAGGAGAAUAGAUGAUGUAGGAUUUGCCAUCGAGCUUGUAAUCCACAGCGCGACCAACGUAUAGAUGCACAGAAAAUAGUAGUAUUGCAAUCCA